AAAUUGAAGAGUUUGAUCAUGGCUCAGAUUGAACGCUGGCGGCAGGCCUAACACAUGCAAGUCGAACGGUAACAGGAAGAAGCUUGCUUCUUUGCUGACGAGUGGCGGACGGGUGAGUAAUGUCUGGGAAACUGCCUGAUGGAGGGGGAUAACUACUGGAAACGGUAGCUAAUACCGCAUAACGUCGCAAGACCAAAGAGGGGGACCUUCGGGCCUCUCGCCAUCGGAUGUGCCCAGAUGGGAUUAGCUAGUAGGUGGGGUAACGGCUCACCUAGGCGACGAUCCCUAGCUGGUCUGAGAGGAUGACCAGCCACACUGGAACUGAGACACGGUCCAGACUCCUACGGGAGGCAGCAGUGGGGAAUAUUGCACAAUGGGCGCAAGCCUGAUGCAGCCAUGCCGCGUGUAUGAAGAAGGCCUUCGGGUUGUAAAGUACUUUCAGCGGGGAGGAAGGGAGUAAAGUUAAUACCUUU
rnacentral:rRNA from 1 species